AUCCUACGAUACCACCACCUUCAACACCUCCUACCACACCACCACCAAAUCCUAGGACACCUCCUACAAAUCCUAGGACACCUCCUACAAAUCCUAGGACACCUCCUACCACACCACCACCAAAUCCUAGGACACCUCCUACCACACCACCAACAAAUCCUAGGACACCUCCGAAAAAUCCUAUGACACCUCCUACCAUACCACCACCAAAUCCUAGGACACCUCCUACCACACUACCACCAAAUCCUAGGACACCUCCUACCACACCACCAGCAAACCCUAGGACACCUCCUACCAGACCACCGACAAACCCCAGAACACCUCCUACCACAUCACCACCAAAUCCUAGGACACCUCCGACAAAUCCUAUGACACCUCCUACCACACCACCAGCAAACCCUAGGACACCUCCUACCACACCACCGACAAACCCGAGGACACCUCCUACCACACCACCGACAAAUCCCAGGACACCUCCUACCACACCACCACCAAAUCCUAGGACACCUCCGACAAAUCCUAUGAAACCUCCUACCACACCACCACCAAAUCCUAUGACACCUCCUUCGACACCACCACCAAAUCCUAGGACACCUCCUACCACACCAUCACCAAAUCCUAGGACACCUCCUACAAAUCCUACCACACCACCAACAAACCCUAGGACACCUCCUACCACACCACCGACAAAUCCUAGGACACCUCCUACCAUACCACCACCAAUUCCUAGGACACCUCCUACCACACCACCACCAAAUCCUAGGACACCACCGACAAAUCCUAGGACACCUCCUACCACACCACCACCAAAUCCUAGGACACCUCCUUCGACACCACCACCAAUUCCUAGGACACCUCCUUUUACACCACCACCAAUUCCUAGGACUCCUCCUACUACACCACCAUCAAUUCCAACAACACCGCCGCGUAAUUGUCCACUUUUAAGCUUGAAUGUUUGUGCCAACCUAUUGAAUAAAUUCGUGAUUAACCCAGGAUCCAAUCCUU
rnacentral:lncRNA from 1 species